rnacentral:rRNA from 1 species
UACGUAGGGGGCAAGCGUUGUCCGGAUUUAUUGGGCGUAAAGAGCUCGUAGGCGGUUUGGUAAGUCUGGUGUGAAAUCUCCACGCUCAACGUGGAGGGGCCACCCGAUACUGCCAUGACUGGAGUCCGGUAGAGGAGUGUGGAAUUCCCGGUGUAGCGGUGAAAUGCGCAGAUAUCGGGAGGAACACCCGUAGCGAAGGCGGCACUCUGGGCCGGUACUGACGCUGAGGAGCGAAAGCGUGGGGAGCGAACAGG